rnacentral:rRNA from 1 species
AAACCAACAGGGAUUGCCUUAGUAACUGCGAGUGAAGCGGCAAGAGCUCAAAUUUGAAAUCUGGCACCUUCGGUGUCCGAGUUGUAAUUUGUAGAAGCAUCUUUUGGAUUGGUCCUUGCAUAUGUUCCUUGGAACAGGACAUCAUAGAGGGUGAGAAUCCCGUUCAUGGUGGGGAAUCCAAUUCUUUGUAAAGUGCUUUCGAAGAGUCGAGUUGUUUGGGAAUGCAGCUCUAAGUGGGUGGUAAAUUCCAUCUAAAGCUAAAUAUUGGCGAGAGACCGAUAGCGAACAAGUACAGUGAUGGAAAGAUGAAAAGAACUCCGAAAGGAGAGUGAAAAAGGACGUGAAAUUGUUGAAAGGGAAGUGCUUGAGAUCAGUCUUAAGGUUUAGUGAUCAGUCUUCCUUUUGGUUGGUGCACUCACUAUUUCUUAGGCCAACAUCAGUUUUCGCGGCAGGAUAAUGACAUUGGAAUGUGGCUCUUUCGGGAGUGUUAUAGCCUUUGUUGAUACUGCCUGCUUAGACUGAGGACCGCGCUUUUGCUAGGAUGUUGGCAUAAUGAUCUU